rnacentral:rRNA from 1 species
UACGGAGGAUGCAAGCGUUAUCCGGAAUUAUUGGGCGUAAAGCGUCCGCAGGUGGACAUACAAGUCUGCUGUCAAAGUGCAGAGCUUAACUCUGUAAAGGCGGUGGAAACUGUAGGUCUUGAGUAUGGUAGGGGUAGAGGGAAUUCCCGGUGUAGCGGUGAAAUGCGUAGAUAUCGGGAAGAACACCAGUGGCGAAAGCGCUCUACUGGGCCAUAACUGACACUGAGGGACGAAAGCUAGGGGAGCGAAAGGG